AGAGUUUGAUCCUGGCUCAGAACAAACGCUGGCGGCGUGCAUAACACAUGCAAGUCUAACGGGAAAGUCGGCUUCCGCUGGCAAGUACCGUGGCGAACGGGUGAGUAACACGUGGGUAAUCUAACCUCGAGUUUGGGAUAACCUUGCGAAAGCGGGGCUAAUACCGAAUAAGACCACGCUUGGUUCGCCAAGUGCGGUAAAAGGCGGCCUCUUCUUGGAAGCUGUCACUUGAGGAUGAGCCCGCGGCCUAUUAGCUAGUUGGUGGGGUAAUGGCCUACCAAGGCAACAAUGGGUAGCCGGCCUGAAAGGGUGUACGGCCACACUGGCACUGAGAUACGGGCCAGACUCCUACUGGAGGCAGCAGUGGGGAAUUUUGCGCAAUGGGGGAAACCCUGACGCAGCAACGCCGCGUGAGUGAUGAAGGCCUUCGGGUCGUAAAGCUCUUUUAGUGGGGAAGAAUUCCACCCGGGCUAAUACCUCGGGUGUC
rnacentral:rRNA from 1 species